rnacentral:rRNA from 1 species
GCUUACGGCCAUACCAGCCUGGGUACGCCCGAUCUUGUCUGAUCUCGGAAGCUAAGCAGGGUCGGGCCUGGUUAGUACUUGAAUGGGAGACUGCCUGGGAAUACCAGGUGCUGUAAGCA